UACGUAGGGACCAAGCGUUGUUCGGAAUUACUGGGCGUAAAGGGUGCGUAGGCGGCUCUCUAAGUUGGAUGUGAAAACUCUGGGCUCAACCCAGAGCCUGCAUCCAAAACUGGAGAGCUAGGGUUCUGGAGGGGAAAGCGGAAUUCCUGGUGUAGCGGUGAAAUGCGUAGAUAUCAGGAGGAACACCGGUGGCGAAGGCGGCUUUCUGGACAGAUACCGACGCUGAGGCACGAAAGCUAGGGGAGCAAACAGG
rnacentral:rRNA from 1 species